GAUGAACGCUGGCGGCGCGCCUAACACAUGCAAGUCGAACGAUUAAAGCACCUUCGGGUGUGUAUAAAGUGGCGAACGGCUGAGUAACACGUGGGCAACCUGCCCCUUUCAUUGGGAUAACCACGGGAAACCGUGGAUAAUACCGAAUACUUCGAGACUUCCGCAUGGAAGACUCGAGAAAGCUCCGGCGGAGAGGGAUGGGCCCGCGGCCUGUUAGCUUGUUGGUGGGGUAACGGCCUACCAAGGCAAUGAUGGGUAGCUGGGUUGAGAGACCGACCAGCCAGAUUGGGACUGAGACACGGCCCAGACUCCUACGGGAGGCAGCAGUGGGGAAUCUUGCACAAUGGGCGAAAGCCUGAUGCAGCGACGCCGCGUGCGGGAUGAAGGCCUUCGGGUUGUAAACCGCUUUCAGCAGGGACGAGGCGAAAGUGACGGUACCUGCAGAAGAAGCCCCGGCUAACUACGUG
rnacentral:rRNA from 1 species